CCUCCUCUUUGUCUUCAAACAUUUCCAUGCUGCCUGAGUGUUUGGUGGUUUUUGCCAUGUGUCUUUGAGACUGUCACUUUUUGUCUGUGUGCUGGCGUGGCCGUGGUCCCCCUCCCUGGUUUCCCUGGUUUCCGGCUCUCCUCAUCAUACUCACCUGCCUCAUCAGCUCAUCAGCCUGCGGUAUUUCUUCUCUAGCUCUCCAACCACUCACUGCCAGAUCGUUGUUCAACCAAGUGGAUCAUCACUCACCUGCACACCACGCUUCCUUCACCAUCUACCCACGCCAUCCUCACCUCAGCCUCCUCCACUUCAUCCCACAGACCCUGGACCCUAUUCAUUCCAGUUUCUUGUGACAACAAACCUUUUCAAACCUUUAUGUGAAACAGGUGACGUCCUCAGACGUAAGACAAACUUACUUACUUAAAGAGUUUUUUCCUGGCAAUAAA